rnacentral:rRNA from 1 species
AUUGAACGCUGGCGGCAUGCCUUACACAUGCAAGUCGAACGGUAACAGAUCUUCGGAUGCUGACGAGUGGCGAACGGGUGAGUAAUACAUCGGAACGUGCCUAGUAGUGGGGGAUAACUACUCGAAAGAGUGGCUAAUACCGCAUGAGAUCUACGGAUGAAAGCAGGGGAUCGCAAGACCUUGUGCUACUAGAGCGGCCGAUGGCAGAUUAGGUAGUUGGUGGGAUAAAAGCUUACCAAGCCGACGAUCUGUAGCUGGUCUGAGAGGACGAUCAGCCACACUGGGACGGGGACACGGCCCAGACUCCUACGGGAGGCAGCAGUGGGGAAUUUUGGACAAUGGGCGCAAGCCUGAUCCAGCAAUGCCGCGUGCAGGAUGAAGGCCUUCGGGUUGUAAACUGCUUUUGUACGGAACGAAAAGCCCUGAGUUAAUACCCUGGGGUCAUGACGGUACCGUAAGAAUAAGCACCGGCUAACUACGUGCCAGCAGCCGCCGUAACAC